rnacentral:rRNA from 1 species
AUUGAACGCUAGCGGGAUGCCUUACACAUGCAAGUCGAACGGAGUGGCGAACGGGUGAGUAAUGUAUCGGAACGUGCCCAGUAGCGGGGGAUAACUACGCGAAAGCGUAGCUAAUACCGCAUACUAUUGGAGCGGCCGAUAUCGGAUUAGCUAGUUGGUGGGGUAACGGCUCACCAAGGCGACGAUCCGUAGCUGGUUUGAGAGGACGACCAGCCACACUGGGACUGAGACACGGCCCAGACUCCUACGGGAGGCAGCAGUGGGGAAUUUUGGACAAUGGGGGAAACCCUGAUCCAGCCAUCCCGCGUGUGCGAUGAAGGCCUUCGGGUUGUAAAGCACUUUCAGCGGGGAGGCGUUACCCGCAGAAGAAGCACCGGCUAACUCCGUGCCAGCAGCCGCGGUAAUAC